rnacentral:rRNA from 1 species
AUGGAGACCCUCCCCUGUGAUUUUCGGGAGGGGAUGGAAACCCUACCUUGUGAGAUUCGUCAGGCGAUGGAGGUACUGAACAAGGAUAAGGCCGACCGGAUCCAGGAGAUUGCGGAGAAGCAGGCGAUCGAGAUGAUCCAAUGGUACUAUGAUAAGCUGAAGGAGAAGGAACCGGAUUCUUAUGAAGACUCGUCAUCGUCUGAUGACGAAGACUCGUGUGAGUCUGAUGAAGAUAGGUGUCGUCGUGACUGGAACCGUCUAUAUGCCGGUAUGUUCGGCUCCUUCGAUGAUUUCACUGCUAUCCCAGCCAUGCGUUACACGGAUAAGCCCGCGCCUCCCAACUUCGCCUGGGAGGAUGAUACUCUUCAGAUCUUUUCAAUCGAAGUCAUGGGAAUAGAGCAGCAAAAAUUAGAGUGGCCGCUAGGUGUGUUUGGUAUGGUUGCCGCACGCGACUCGCUGGAUCACGAUCGCUGGAUCACAAUCACAACAUUAUCUUCAGUCGUGAACGGGACAAUCGUCAGACCAUCAGUGAGGAGAGUCCCUAUCUAG